AAAAAAUAAAAAAAUUAGCCUCAGCAGCACACACGCACAAACAUCAGUGUCUUUCAAUUUUUCACUCUUCUCCUCACAGAAAACCAAAAAACCCACGAAACCCUCUCCCCCAAAUCACCAAAUUUCUUAAACUUUUCCCUUAUUCUCCAUUCCCUUGUUCCAUCUUGCAUUCAUUCACUCUCCAGCACCCAUUCUUGCAUCUACUUCAUCCCCAAGAGGUAAGUUCUUCUCCACUUUCUUCAAAUUCUCUUCUUCUUCACAAUCUUGAAUUUUCCUUCUAUUUGGGUUGAAUUUUUAAUGUUUAUGGGUUGAAUAAUUAUGUGUAAUGCUUGCAUGUUGUUGGGUCUGAGUAGAAUUUGAUGAUUUAGAGUUAAAUUUGCUUAAAUUCUCACAUGCUCUAUUGUUGCUCACAAGGUGUCUGAUAAAAUUCUUCAAUGGAAAUUCAUGUUGUUUUGUGCAAAUUCAUGAAGUUUAUGGGGUAGGAUUUUACGGAGAAUGAUUAUUUGUCAUGGGAAGUGUGGCUCUUGAACAAUUAUGAUGAAAGUGAUUGUUAUUUUGAUGUUUACAACGUGCUCAUCAAUUGUAUGGUAAAGCUUUAAUUGAAAUUGAGCAACUCUUUUGGGGUAUAUACCUCUUGUUAAAAAUUAUCUAAACCGAAGAGUUGUAGCAGAUUCAAUUGUUGCUAAUGUAAGGUGUAGCUCAUAGUUUUUGAAGAUGAUUAAUUUGCUUAAGAUAUGAAAAGGGAGUGUAUGAAUUUGAACGGAUGUUGCUUAGCAUCGGCUAAAAAAUCAACGUUAAAUUUGGCGACGCUAAAUAUUUAGCGGCGGGGGGGGGGGGGGGGGGGGUGAACGGCCGCCCCUUUUUUCUUUUUUUUGUUUUACAACCGCCGCUAUAUAUAGAACAAUUUUUUACUUUUUCCGUCACUUAGUGGCGGUUUAAAUCGCCGCUAUUUAUUGUAUGCAAUUUGAGGAUUAUUUUUUUGCCCAGGACUGUUUCUGCAAAAUUUAGGCGUGUUUUUUUUACCUGAUUUCUUUUUCCACCAUUACAUAAUAAAUUAAAUAGUUAUAGACAUCAUGUAUGAUAAAAUGAGUAAAUUCAUAAAAUGAUCAUAAAAUAAAGUAACAUUAGAUAAAGUAAAGAGUUUUCCAACGUUUUUGGCAUAAGUGCACUACUAAUGCCAUUUCAGGUUCGAUACAUUAUGCAUGUGAUCAACAAGCCACCAAACACUAAACCAGAACAACCAACUCAAGAAAAUAUGCUUAAUAUUCAAAGAUAAGAUCAAUAAUCACAAUAACAGGAAAGCAUUCACAUUUGACACAAUUGACAGCACUUACAAUUAAGGUGUGUGGAACUCAAAUGUAUAAGUAUGAUCGAUCACAUUACAUAAUACAAAACAACACAUAUAUAGACUAGAGAGAAAAAAGAAACCUGGAAUCUUUCGUGCAGCUCAAAUGUUAGUUGAUCAAGCUACCAAUUCCUUUGUGUGCCUGCCUGACAACAAUUUUUAGAGAUUUUUUAACCUUGAUACAAUUAACAUAUAGAAUUAAAGCAAAUUAAUCACUAAAACUGCUACAGGAUUACUAAGUGUGAGGUUGGCCACAAUACAAACAUGGACACUAUAAACAUCAGCUAGUCCAGGAUAUCUCAUGAGAGAUCAAACAUGUCUUAGCAGAUUAUUUACGUCCAUAUAACAGUUUAAGAAUGAUCAGGUACAAGAACCACACAAUUAGAUACUGAAUAAGCAUGACUACAUUAAGAACCACAUAGAAUUUCUACUAAUCUGUUGUGAAUCUCAGUUCCACUUCUAUAACUGUUUUUGCUUUAUUGAUUAACUGUAGAGUUAUCAACAUGGUGCAGUUUCCUUUUGUUUCCCAACAAGUGCAUGUAAACAUGAAGAGCCAAAAGCUAACUUAAGUCAAGAUCACAGCACCUAGAUACACAACUCCACAAAGAAUGAAAAAAGAUAUUAAACCCCUGCGACAUUUGAGGCAAUUAAAUUGGCUAAGUGACAAUCUACAAGACUCAUACAUAAGCAUUCACCGGAUAUUUUUCCAUCUUUCAAAUGCAAAUAAUUUUGUUCCAUGCUUUUUCAAAUUUCACAAGAUGGCCAAUCAGAAUUUUUCUUAGCUUUUUUCUUAACAUUGGAGGUAAAAGUAAGUGAAUGGAGAAGAUAAGUGACCUAGUAAAGGAUAAAACUUGCCACAUCAUACAAAACAAACCAUCAUCCAACAUAUAGAAUAUAAUUCAUCACUUCCAUACAACUUGUGAGCUUUCUUCUCCUUCUUCUUCCAUAAAACUUCUUUCUCUCUGCACUGCCAAUAUAAAAACAUAAGGAGGCAUGUACUGAGAACAGUACAUGUAAUUUGAAAAUUGCACAUGAAGUCCACGGUGUCAAAUUUGGAAAAAGGGGAAGGAAAAAAGGACAAAGAAACCAAAGAGAAGUCUGCAUUGCUAAAAUGGAUUCAUAACAUUUAUUUCCCAAGAAGCAAAGAAAAGAAAAAUCACAACCUGCAUUUGACUAAAACCAUGGUAAACCUUGGGGAAGGUUUCCUUAUAUCAAAGACAUGUUCAAAACAAUAAAAAAGCUAUUUGAGACAAUGCAGAAACCAGAUACUUAAAUGUAAAGUACAAACCUCAAUCAUUACUGCAUGUAUUAUUCAAAACUGACACAAAAGAAGAAGAACCACACAAGCAUCACAAACAUUAGCCCCUAGCAAUUGUGAACCAAGUCUGUUAGCUGCACGAACAAGAACAAAAACACUUACAACAUCAUAGUCAAAUCCAUGAGAAUAAAAGUUCCAAUACAACCAUAAAAAACAUGAGUUCCAUGAAAAUAAAAGAAAUCCAUCGAUUAAGAUAGAGUAAAAAAACCUUAAAUGGAAUGCCUACGAUGAGUUUGGUAGCAAGUAACUUGUAGAGGAGCUCUAGCAUCUGUAAACAUCAAGGGAAAAAUAUUAGAAUGACAAAAGGAAGCCUUUCACCUUCUCUUAGGUCCAAGGUUGAAACACAAAAUAUCUGUCAAAUUCAAUGUUGAACAGAAAAAUAAUAUAUGCUUGAUGCAAGGCAAGUGAGGUCGAGACAUAACAUCCUUUCCUUGAAGUCUUGGUCUUGCCAAAAUGAAGACAACCAAACUAUCAACUCCAUGCAAAAUUGCAAAUGUUUAUUGAGGUGGGGACAUAUACCCAAGGCCUUGAAACAUAGCUUCAGUGCCUGAAGUUACACAAGAAAACCAGAAUGAAUUUGGCAUGAAUAAGGCUUAAGAAGAACCAAAAUUUUAACAGUGACACAGACCUGUAGCACAUAGAAAUACUCCUCCAAUCCAACCAUUUUUUCCCGUAACCCAAAAGAACUUGUAUAUGUAAUAUGGAGAAAGAGACUGAUAUAUUCUUGGAUUCCACUUGACGACAUUGUAAAUGCCAAUCAUGAAACGCUCAAAAAUUAUUUCACCGAGCAAAAAGAAAGAGAUAUAAUCUCAGUGUUUUAUUUAUGCAUUUAUCCAAAAACACUUACAACAUCAUAGCCUAGGCGAGUUUCCAGAGGUAAAGGAUGAAGCUUUUAGCCAAAAUGUGGUAUCUCAUCACCCUCAACAGACAUGGGAAUUAUCUAGAAUCUAUAAUAUCCAACACAUUGAAGGUACAAAAUAUGGUAUUCAUACACAGUAGAAAUAAAUCCGCUUUGGACUGUGCAAUUCUUGCAUGAAUGUAAAUUCGCAAGGGGUAUUAUGUAGCAUGAGCAUCAUAGUUAUAUGGAAAUUUUACAAUCUCAUCCUCUAAACUAUUUUCCCCAGUCUCAAACCUAAUCUUACAUACAGCGGCAACGACGUGCCAAACAGCAGCAACUAACAAGUCAAGUAAACAACGAACAAAGUGAAGGUCCAGAAGUGUUAUUACCUGAGGAAGAAAACCCAGUGCAAAUGGAGAUUUUUGGCGAGCAGAAACAGAGCUGGAACAGCGAACAGAGAUGGAACUCGAGAACAUCGAUUGGAACACGGAGGAAGAGAUCCGAGGGUAGCGAUGAGAAACUGAAGAAGCUUUGAAGGGAUGAAGACUCGACGAAGCUGUGAAGCGUUGAAGGAACUGGGGAUGCGGUGAAGCUGGUGCAUCCUCCUGCUUGUCAACAACGAUAUGUGAAGGGGUGAAGCGGUGGAGCGGUUUCAACGAAAUAGGGAACAUGGAUUGGGAAAUUUAGGGGAAUAUGGUUUCAAUUGUUUAUUUUGAGAAGAGGGUUUCGAAUUUUGAUUGUUAACAAAUUGGGGAGGGCGGGGAUUAAAAAUCGUGACCGCUGCUUGGAGCCAAAAUUCGAGAAAAUUUUAAUAUCAAAACAUAGCGGCGGCAUAAACCGCCGCUAAAUCACAAACCUUAAAAUUAAAUUGGUACGUUAGCGGCGGGGGGCCAGAACACACCACAAACAGUAUGAAUUUGAACGGAUGUCACUAACAAUGCUUCCAAUUUUGGAAAAUCUUCUUUGUCUAUUUUGUAGAUGGCUGGCAAAAGGAGGCAA
rnacentral:lncRNA from 1 species